AUGACACCAUCUGAGUAUUGUAAUCAAGACCAGCCAGGUUUCUUAGAUUUAGAUGAACAUCAAAGACAAACCAUUACACAUAAUUCAACCCCAAAAAGAAACAUUUUUUUGGGGCUUCUGUAUAACCCGUCUAUACCUCACCCCUCAGCUGAAGUUACAAUUCAGGAUGACCAGCUUGGGUUAGAGCCUGAGGAGUAUGAAGAUCCCACAGUCAGAUCACAGAAUUCUUCCUAUGAAAAUGAACAAUGGGAGCCAUGUGAAACAUGCAAGCUGGAGGUACAGGCAUUACUUAAAGAGAAUAAGAUGAUGAAAGAUGUGCUUUCCAGCAUGAAUCUUGAACACCUACAGGUACUCAGAGAAUUUAUAGAUAAGAUGGAAGACUACAAAUCACGUGAAAGUGGGGUGCUGAUGCCUCAAACCAGACCUGGCCAACAAGAACUUUACCCAGACAGUGGGCUGCUCUUGUCCUCUACCAAACUAGCAGCUAUUCACCAAGAGUCAAAGAAGGACUGUCUUCGUCUUUUCCAUCUACUGUUUGAUCAGUUCUUCACUCAUGAAGAAUGUUCAAACUCUGUAGCAUUUGGAAAGCAUGGCAAAGUCCCAGAGGGCAAGACAAUUUUGGAUAAAAGUAAAGUAAAUGGAAUACUAAGUAAGUUCCUAAAUCCUUUUUAUCAAAUGUCAACUUCAUGUUCCAUACAUUUAAUCUAAUGUUUGGUCAUGUUAUAGGCACAAUGGGAUUAAAAGUAUAGUUACAGUAUUUCCCUUGACCAGUUCAUGUAACAUUUUCCCUUUUUCCCCAAUUGUAGCUUAUGUCAUGAGCUGCGGCAAAUGUCAUGGAUGGAAACCAGUUGAAAAGUCAAAGCUGAAGAAAGCCCUUAUAAACAAGUGUCGCAUGAGAUCAACUUAAAUGUUUAUGUAAUUGUAGUGUUACAUCAAUGAUGUUGUGUCAUUUACUGGUAUUUUAUUUUGCUGUUUCUGUAUUUAAGUAUCUAUAUGUAGCUGUGCUGCAGUCUAGAAUUUGUUAGUUUUUUUUUUUUAAAUGCUGCUUAUAAAGUGUAAAAAAGAAACUAUAUAUUUUAGUUUGAUAUUGUAGAAAACUUGUUUCUCUAAGAUUAAAAUAUGUGUCUUUACAGAGAUUGCAAAGUAUAAACAUAACUCAUGUGCAGUAUCUAACACUAUUUAAUAUUUGAAGUGCCUUGUAAAAAGAUUUCCAUAUUGUAUUUUCUUGCCAUUGUAUUAAGCAUGUAAAAUGAAACUUGAAACCUACAUGAGCAAAGAAAAUGUUAACCUCAUACUGAGCACAGUAAAAGCAGCCCAACGUCUGAGCAAUAAAACUUUCUGCAAGACACUAAAGAGCUCUCCCAUCUUCAUUUUAAUACAGUCUCAUGGAUGUCUUGUCUUCUCCAAAUUUACUUUAGUCUCAUUUAUGUCUAUUUGUAUGUUCCCUGGGCAAUUUUAUGAGGAAAAUGUGAAGUCAAAUCUGAAACCUAAAGUGGACACUGAUGAGAAUCACAAUCAUAAAUGCUGAGCUUAGUAAGAGCAAUCUCUGAGUGAAAACACUUUCUCGAAUUAGUGUUGAAAGAGAUUACAGCAAGACAAUAAAGAGAGUUUUAGGAGAAACAUCUGAGACACUGCUGAUACUACAACAAGAGCUAAAUAAGAAUCUCAAUUAAGUCUCAGAUAUUUCUCAUGUCUCAGUUGUGUCUACUCUUAUUUCUCCUAAUGGAUUUUAGGAGAAACAUCUGAGACACUGCUGAUACUACAACAAGAGCUAACUAAGAAUCUCAAUUAAGUCUCAGAUAUUUCUCAUGUCUCAGUUGUGUCUACUCUUAUUUCUCCUAAUCGAUUUUAGGAGAAACAUGGGAAGACAAAGCUGACACCUAAUUUAGACAAUAAAGAGA
ensembl:lncRNA